GAGUUAAAGGUUGUAGCAGAAGCUCUUGAAAGUAGUUAUGAAGGAUUUCAAGCCAAGAAAAAUAGUCUGAACAGUCCAUAUUCAUGAGUGAACCAAGCCGGAUCAUCAGAUUCUGCAAGGAGGAACAAGGUUUACAAGUUACAACUCAGAAGACAAAAAGAGUAUAACAAGUUCAAAAUAAAGUGUCAAAUUGACAAAUCACAAUGUUCAAAAUUACUAAAGAGUGAAGGAUGGUAGGACUAGGUUCGUUGGAGUUGGAACAACUCAGUGGAGCUAUGACACAACCCAUGAAAGUUGAGUUCAUACUUCAUUCACCUCUUUGGUCUGUUGGGGUCAAUGAAAAUUUGCAACAAUGGGUGUGUUCAUGUUUUCUUCUUUAGUAACUUCAUUAAUACUUGGAACUGUAGGAUUGAGACUUGAUACAACUCCCUCACCUCACCUCCUUUGUAGAUGGGUUUUAUAGGGAUGUUAGAUGCAUUUGUGGAGUCAAGUAGUUUAGCUACGAGUUUAAUGUUUUGUGCACUACGGAACCUUAGCAUUCAGCUGUUUCAUUUUGGGUUUUAAUAAACACUGAGCCACCAUCAUUUUUAACCAUUGUGUUGUACAUUCAUUCAAUAAUCCUAAGACUCACGAGCCUAUGUGAGUCUGUCCGAGUUUACACAAACAAUCUUGUAAGCAAGUUAACUCAAUUUGAUAACUAGAGUCAUAAAUUUGAAUGA